rnacentral:rRNA from 1 species
GAUGAACGCUGGCUACAGGCUUAACACAUGCAAGUCGUGGGGAAACGGCAUUAUGUGCUUGCACAUUCUGGACGUCGACCGGCGCACGGGUGAGUAUCGCGUAUCCAACCUGCCCCUUACUUGGGGAUACCCCGUUGAAAGACGGCCUAAUACCCGAUGUGUUUCAUUGACGGCAUCCGAUAUGAAACAAAGGUUUUCCGGUAAGGGAUGGGGAUGCGUCUGAUUAGCUUGUUGGCGGGGCAACGGCCCACCAAGGCGACGAUCAGUAGGGGUUCUGAGAGGAAGGUCCCCCACAUUGGAACUGAGACACGGUCCAAACUCCUACGGGAGGCAGCAGUGAGGAAUAUUGGUCAAUGGACGCAAGUCUGAACCAGCCAAGUAGCGUGCAGGAUGACGGCCCUAUGGGUUGUAAACUGCUUUUAUGUGGGAAUAAAGUGGCGCACGUGUGCGCCAUUGCAUGUACCUCAUGAAUAAGGACCGGCUAAUUCCGUGCCAGCAGCCGCGGUAAUACGGAAGGUCCGGGCGUUAUCCGGAUUUAUUGGGUUUAAAGGGAGUGUAGGCGGUCUGUUAAGCGUGUUGUGAAAUUUAGGUGCUCAACAUUUAACUUGCAGCGCGAACUGUCAGACUUGAGUACACGCAGCGCAGGCGGAAUUCAUGGUGUAGCGGUGAAAUGCUUAGAUAUCAUGAGGAACUCCGAUCGCGAAGGCAGCCUGCAGGAGUGUUACUGACGCUUAAGCUCGNAGGUGCGGGUAUCGAACAGG